rnacentral:rRNA from 1 species
UACGGAGGGUGCGAGCGUUGUCCGGAAUCACUGGGCGUAAAGGGCGCGUAGGCGGCUUGGUAAGGGGGCGGUGAAAGCCCGGGGCUCAACCCCGGGUCUGCCGGACCGACUGCCGAGCUUGAGCACACUAGGGGCAGGUGGGAAUUCCGGGUGUAGCGGUGGAAUGCGUAGAGAUCCGGAAGAACACCGGUGGCGAAGGCGGCCUGCCGGGGUGUGGCUGACGCUGAUGCGCGACAGCGUGGGGAGCAAACAGG